GCCCACUCACACCUUUAAAAAUAGUCUCCUUGAAAUUAAAUCUUCCUCAAAUUAUUCUAAAUUAAGUGUACCAUGUGUUUCAAAUUGCAGCCUCAACUGGCUCACUGCCUUCUUUAUCCCAGCCUCCAUUGCAGUGAUGUUGGGGGCCAUAUGACUACUGCUGACCAAUGGACUGUGAACAGAAACGACAGCAUCACUCCCAUGGAGCCUCCUCCAUCUGUCUUCCCUGUUGUGACAAUCUCAGAAGCUGCGUUCUUUCCAUGGCUGGGCUACAAGGUGGUGAAAGGCUGCCCAACCUGGUUUGCAACGCCACCUCAGUAAGCUGAGAUGUGGUAAUCGCCAUGGCAACGGGGCUGCCUUAAAAGCAUUGUGCACACACAGACUGGUGCCUGGCAGAGUUCAGUCUGGUCUCACUGCACAUCUUCCCUAAUUAAGAUGCACCUUUUGGUUUUGUCUUUUUGGGGGAAAAAAAUAACAACAACAAAAUGCUCCCUUUAUAGCCAUGAGGCAGAAGAAAAAUUAAGGCCAAGAUCCUUUCAUGCCCAAUAUGGGCCUGCUUGGCAGUUGGAGCAUGAGGGAUCAUGGGCAGCAAGUGAGAAAGUGCACAGUGAUUUGCCGCUGUUACAUCCUGAGAAACUGGAGGGAUGUCAUCAAAGUCCUUGAAUAGCUGGAGAGUGGGUGUGGGAUGGUUAUGUUUGAAAAUGCAGCUCUGAUAUAAAACAAAGCAAAGACUGCACUGUUUGCCCAGCAAGAGCCUUGCUGGAGACCCUAAGCCUAAGAGAGAAGCUUCUGCCAUCAACAGGCCACAAAACCCAUACUUCCUGCUCUAUGAGGCUUCUGAACUUGGUUCCCUGGAAUCCUCCCUCCUUACCAAGUACCUGCCUCCAGGCCUAGGGGAGACCAGACCGAGGUCUGUCCUUGUCUACCUACAAGGACAAGGCAUUCUACUGCCAUAGACCACCUGUUUAUGUGCCUCUAAAAUUUGUUUGUUAAAGCCUAAAUCCCCGGUGUGAUGAUAUUUGGAGGUGGGACCUUUGAAUGGUGAUUAGGUUUAGAUGAGCUCAUGUGGGUGGGGCCCUCAUAAGGGUAUUAAUGUCCUUAUGUGAAGAGACACAACGGAGCUUGCUUCCUCUCUCUCUUUCCCCACCAUGUGAAGACUCAGCAAGAGGGCAGCCAUCUGCAAACCAGAAAGAGAGCCCUCACCAGGAACUGGAUCUGCUGGCACCUUGAUCUUGGACUUCCCAGCCUUUAGAGCUGUGAGAAAUGUCGCCCUCAGGUCAAUGGGAUAUUUGUUACAGUACCAGGUACUGACUGAGAACUCCACCUUUAGAGAGGCCCCAGGGAGCCUGUGUGCUGUGUCCCUGAGGAGACAAUGAAGGUGCUUGACACCCAGUUUGAAUAUCGGGUCACGGCAAAGCUGACUGCUGCUGAAGGAGAGAUGCCUUCUUAUGGCAAGCCAUAAGAAGCAGCAGAAGUCAUGAGCAGGCUGAAACUAUGAGGCCGAGACAAAAUGACACAUUGCCACAAAAACAGGGACAAACAGACAACAGGCAGAGCCCAAGGGAAUCAGUAAUCUCCUGCUGCCACUGAGGCCUUGGGACUAACUCAGAUCCAGUACUGCUUUCUUAAGGCCUAUUCUGAUUCCAGUCCCUGUCCUUGGGGUCCCCUGAGAUCCCUGUAGCCUUGUAAUAAGCCCACAUUAUUGUAUUUCCCCUGCUGGCUUCACCCUAGAGCAUUUCCAACAAUUUCCAGUGCUUUUCCCCUUCUCAUACCACCGGGCCUUUGCACGUGCUAGUGCCUCCCCAGCUAGCCCUGCCUUCUCCUUCACUCACACAACUCCUACUAAAUCUCUCAGACUCCUCAGCUGUGUCCCUUCCUAGGGGAGGACUCUCCUCCCUCCAGUGAGCCUGGCAGUCCUCCCUGGCAUCCCCUGCUCCUUGUCUUCCCUGCCAUCCUCACUGCCAUGCUUGUUCUCUGUUCAGAAGGAGGCAGAGGCUGGCCUGCCCCCACUCUCCUGUAGACUGACCAGAUGAAUUGACCUGGGCAGGGCAGGUGUGUUUGACCAAUUAUCUGGGCACCCCAUGGCUCAGUCAAGUGGACACAUAACGUUAACUGCCAUAGGGCCCCUUCGUUGUAUUUGUCUAUGAAUAAAAAACGGCAUCAACUCCAGGUAUCUGAGGGUUCUGGAGGCAAGUUCUGUGAUCCCUUUUUACAGAUGAGGAUGCGGAGGUCCAGUUGUCACUCACCCAGAUCACACUGUUAUCUGCUGAUGGCAGGAGUAUUUGACGGGAUGUGUGAGCCUGGCCAUCUCCCUCGGGACACAUCGGCUCAUUAAAUUUACCAGCCCUUGCCUGAAAAAGUAUUUAAUUUGCCUUUUACAAUGCACCGAUUGCAAGUUAAUUUUGAAAGUUAUAGGUGGCAUUAGAAUUUAUUAAUAACAUUGGAAAUAAAUCUCCCCAGAAUUCAGUUAAUUGAAAACCUCAUGAAAUUCUUUUUUUACAAUCCAUAAAGCCGGUCUGGGAGAGAGGUGUUCCAGGAACCUCGGGAGUGGUUGGAACUGCAGACGUGGAGGGUUGGAGUGGGGAGGGGGCUUCCGUUCUGAUGUAGGCCUGUCUUGGCUACCACCCGCCCCUGCCUAUAAUCUCCAACAUGGCCUCUUAGGGUUAGGGAAGAAGCCACGUCCCCAUCGUUAAUGUCCUACCAUGUACCAGUGUCAAGGAAGAAGCCACACCCCCAUUGUGAAUGUCCAGCUAUGUGCCGGUGUCAGGAAAGAAGCCACGCCCCCAUCGUGAAUGUCCUGUCAUGUGCCAGUGAUUCAUUUGCAGUGAUUCAUCUGCUGUGCACCUGACCUGAGCUGGGGACUCAGACGUGACCUGGCCCACAGGACCCUCACAGAACAUCUUUCAGCGGGGCAGAGCAUGGCUUCCCGAGUCCCACAGACCUGGUCUGGAACUCAGCUUCACCGCCAACUGCCUGUGUGACCUUGAGGAAGUUACAUAACCUCUCUGGGGCUCAGUUGACUCACCCCAAAAUGAGAGAGGUGGCUGUGACGUUAAAGGAGGUAUUCCUUUCCAAGGGCCUGGAAGGCCAGGUUUGACGUUGGAACUGUGACUGUCAGUCUCAUGCUGGAAGGUGAUGGCCGGGGAGCGUCAGCCCCUGUCGUCCUCCAGCCCUUCUGCUUCCCUCACUAACUUCCACCUUGCCUGGCAGGGGUCUUCUCAGGGUGCACCUGAGGGUGCCCACCUGGAGCAUCUAAGCUCAGUUCACACCCUUCAAACUCAGCAGCCCCUUGGUCGAAAGACAAAGGCGUCAGUGGGUGUGGGGUCUGCCCUUAAGACAGAAGGAAGAAGACCUCGGCGGGGAGAGGGGGCAGCUCUGGGGGAGGACAUUUUGGUGUCCUGGGCAAUGCAGGCAAGUCUCUCUCUUAGGAUCCCAUCUCUGCCACUGGGUCUGGGGGAAUGAAUGCCUGCUGGUCUACUUCCUCGAGGAGAGGAGGUAUUUUUUCACACAAAAAAAAUUAAAAUAAUUUUUAAAAAUUAAAAAAUGAAACUAAUUGUCAGCUCUCAGUCCUCAGCGCUUCCAUAUUGCUGAUCAUCUGGGCACGGCUAGGUUUCUAGCCUAUCAUUUUACUGGCUUUAAAAAUAUAUACACUUAUCACCUAUUUUGGUUUGGUUUGGUUUGGUUUUUGAGACGGAGUCUUGCUCUGUUGCCCAGGCUGGAGUGCAGUGG